GAUGAACGCUAGCGGCAGGCCUAAUACAUGCAAGUCGAACGGGAUCUGAGGGUAGCUUGCUACCCGAUUUGAGAGUGGCGCACGGGUGCGUAACGCGUGAGCAACCUACCCAUAUCAGGGGGAUAGCCCGGAGAAAUUCGGAUUAACACCGCAUAAUAAUGCAUUAACACAUGUUAAAGCAUUUAAAUAUUUAUAGGAUAUGGAUGGGCUCGCGUGACAUUAGCUAGUUGGUGAGGUAACGGCUCACCAAGGCGACGAUGUCUAGGGGCUCUGAGAGGAGAACCCCCCACACUGGUACUGAGACACGGACCAGACUCCUACGGGAGGCAGCAGUAAGGAAUAUUGGUCAAUGGGCGGAAGCCUGAACCAGCCAUGCCGCGUGCAGGAUGACUGCCCUAUGGGUUGUAAACUGCUUUUGUCGAGGAAUAAACCUAUCUACGUGUAGCUAGUUGAACGUACUCGAAGAAUAAGGAUCGGCUAACUCCGUGCCAGCCGCCGCAGUAA
rnacentral:rRNA from 1 species